UACGUAGGGCGCAAGCGUUGUCCGGAAUUAUUGGGCGUAAAGAGCUCGUAGGUGGUCUGUUACGUCUGCUGUGAAAUCCCGGGGCUCAACCCCGGGCGUGCAGUGGAUACGGGCUGGCUAGAGGCAGGCAGGGGAGAACGGAAUUCCCGGUGUAGCGGUGAAAUGCGCAGAUAUCGGGAGGAACACCGGUGGCGAAGGCGGUUCUCUGGGCCUGUACUGACGCUGAGGAGCGAAAGCGUGGGGAGCGAACAGG
rnacentral:rRNA from 1 species